rnacentral:rRNA from 1 species
GACGAACGCUGGCGGCGUGCUUAACACAUGCAAGUCGAACGGAAAGGCCCUGCUUUUGUGGGGUGCUCGAGUGGCGAACGGGUGAGUAACACGUGAGUAACCUGCCCUUGACUUUGGGAUAACUUCAGGAAACUGGGGCUAAUAACGGCUCGGAGCUCCUGCUGCAUGGUGGGGGUUGGAAAGUUUCGGCGGUUGGGGAUGGACUCGCGGCUUAUCAGCUUGUUGGUGGGGUAGUGGCUUACCAAGGCGUUGACGGGUAGCCGGCCUGAGAGGGUGACCGGCCACAUUGGGACUGAGAUACGGCCCAGACUCCUACGGGAGGCAGCAGUGGGGAAUAUUGCACAAUGGGCGGAAGCCUGAUGCAGCAACGCCGCGUGCGGGAUGACGGCCUUCGGGUUGUAAACCGCUUUCGCCUGUGACGAAGCGUGAGUGACGGUAAUGGGUAAAGAAGCACCGGCUAACUACGUG